GAUGAACGCUGGCGGCGUGCCUAAUACAUGCAAGUCGAGCGAACAGACGAGGAGCUUGCUCCCCUGACGUUAGCGGCGGACGGGUGAGUAACACGUGGAUAACCUACCUAUAAGACUGGGAUAACUUCGGGAAACCGGAGCUAAUACCGGAUAAUAUAUUGAACCGCAUGGUUCAAUAGUGAAAGACGGUUUUGCUGUCACUUAUAGAUGGAUCCGCGCCGCAUUAGCUAGUUGGUAAGGUAACGGCUUACCAAGGCAACGAUGCGUAGCCGACCUGAGAGGGUGAUCGGCCACACUGGAACUGAGACACGGUCCAGACUCCUACGGGAGGCAGCAGUAGGGAAUCUUCCGCAAUGGGCGAAAGCCUGACGGAGCAACACCGCGUGAGUGAUGAAGGUCUUCGGCUCGUAAAGCUCUGUUGUUAGGAAAGAACAAAUGUGUAAGUAACUAUGCACGUCUUGACGGUACCUAAUCAGAAAGCCACGGCUAACUACGUG
rnacentral:rRNA from 1 species